AGAAAGCUUGCUCUUCCCUGUCAGGAGCCGCCUGCCGCAGGCGGGAUGAACGAGAGCUGUAAAAUGGGACUGUCCCAUUCCCACGCUCCACGGCUGCGACCCCUGUACGGGGCAGUGGGCGGCGGCGCGGGUAGGAAGCAGGCGGGGAGCGACGCGGAGAGCCCGAUUUGUCCCUCCUCCAGCCACUUGUUGCUUAUCCAUGGGCCUGGGACUGCCAUUUGGAUCCACACAGGGGAAUUAAAACAAAAAGAAUAAUGAGGCUCCUGGCCGUGGCGGGGUGCGCAUUGGCCCUCUUGCCCUGCGUGUAGCAGGUGGAGGAGACAGGCUCCAUCCUUAGAGCUUCCCAGAGCCCAGGGUUGGCCUGAAGACACCAAAGCAGAGGACAGCCAGGAAUUGGGUCAGAAAGAAAAAGCUUCGUUGGUUUUAAUUAUUUUAAAUAGAAAAGCCACAUCCAAAAGUACCAAUAAUGAUUUUUACAGUAAACCCACUAUGUUGACAUAAACCAGCCCACCCCUGAACGCACAGAAGACCGUAGCACAAACCGUGAGAGGCGUAUUGAAGGACUGGGGCAAAAUCAGGACCGACAGGCAAGCGUGGUUUCCAUCAGGGUCUUACUCCUCUGGCUUCCUAGUUUAGGCAGAUUUCACCCUGUUAAUAGGGUCCGUGGAUCGGUCUCUCUUUCUCUCCUCUCUCUCUAGCUCUCUAUCUCUCUCCCUUUCCACCUCGUGUUUCAUUCCUUUGAAACAAAUCCAGGGAGCAGAUGGCCUCAGAAGGGUAUCUAAUCCAUGCCUGGCCUCGAGGCACGUACUAUAAGCUGUGAUACCGUGCUAAGGUGUUAUUAUAGAGACAAAAAUAUCUCAGACUGCAGGAUCUAGCCAUCCUAUUCUUAAAGUUCCCUAGGGAAAGAUGUUGUACAAUAUUCUUUGAUAACCUACUACAAAUGCUAACCACUUUAAGUACAAUAUAAGAACCUUCUGAUCCUAGGUUUUAUUUGUUUCUAUUUAAACUCAUUCAGGGUCAGGCUACCCAGAGGGCAGUUGAACACCUGUCCGGUGGCUUAUGGGAAUGCCUUGCACGAUGUGCACUUCCCUCCACCAGGAUCAGUGUGUCUGCUGACACUGGGGACCAUGCCUGAGACAUAGGUACAAUUGGGCUGUGCCAGGGCAGCUCAGAGAAAGUGAUCCACUCUGAUUCAGACCCUGCCAGCUG
rnacentral:lncRNA from 1 species